AUUGAACGCUGGCGGCAGGCCUAACACAUGCCAGUCGAACGCGUGGCGGACGGGUGAGUAAUGUCUGGGAAACUGCCCGCUGGCGGGGGAUAACUACUGGAAACAGUAGCUAAUACCGCAUACUAUCGGAUGUGCCCAGAUGGGCUUAGCUAGUAGGGGGGGUAACGGCUCACCUAGGAGACGAUCCCUAGCUGGUCUGAUAGGAUGACCAGGCACACUGAAACGGAGACACGGUCCAGACUCCUACGGGAGGCAGCAGUGGGGAAUAUUGCACAAUGGGCGCAAGACGGAGACAGCCAUGACGGGAGUAUGAAGAAGGCCUUCGGGUUGUAAAGUACUUUCAGCGAGGAGGCGUUACUCGCAGAAGAAGCACCGGCUAACUCCGUGCCAGCAGCCGCGGUAAUUC
rnacentral:rRNA from 1 species